UGCAGGGGAUGCCCGAGGUGCCGCCAUAGGACCCCGGUUCCAGCCGGCGGGAAGGCCCGGUUGCCCCUCUUGGGCCCCUGAUUCAGCAGCCGCUCGAUCCCGCGCGUCCAUCUCAGGUCUUCACGAAAGUGAAAGAGAGCCAAAAAUAAGGUAGAUACUAUGGCAUGCCCAUUUUACAAAGAAAGAAACUGAAGCAACUUGCCAAAGGCCACGCAAACAGCUGAGAAGUGUCAGAUCCAGUCUGUGCUUGAGGAAACACUACCCCAAAGCUUGUUUUCUGAUGGGCUGUUCAACCAAUAUUGCGCUCAGAAGAAUUGAAACUGGGGUCCAGCGUUCAUGGCCUGUCCAGUGGGAAAGAUUUGGAGCCAAGAGGCCAGGAUUCAGACCCAGUUUUAUUCCUUCUCCGGACCCAGCAAGCAGGUAAUUUAUUACAGAGAUCUGGCGGGGCCCACAGUGAAGCCCGCUGGCUCUGCAGGGGGUGACACGGGCAGAAAUGGAUCUUGUUUUCAAACCGAACUGAAGGAAGAGCAGAGAGUUGGCGUUUUGACUGUACGAGAGACCGCUCUGUGCAGCCCUCCCUGCCCACACACGGGGAAGUAUGGUUCAGAGUUUGAGAGUCAUCACAGCUGCCUGCACUGACCUGACUCUCCACCAUCAGCUAAUGGGAAAGCUGGCCUCCCACACACCAGCUGCGUCCCAGAUCAGUGCUUUCCCAGUGAGCAAUGAAAAGCAAAGGCAAGCACAAAAACAGGAAGAAAUAGCUUUCCAAGUACCCUUUCAUCGAGAAGAAUAGAAACUGCAAACAGUAUUUUCAUCGUUAGUUAUCAUGCGAUGUUCACCAUGUUCCAGGGAGAUUGAAGGUGAAGCUCUCUCAGCCCCCCACCCUACCUACCCACCAUGAUCCACCCACACUCACUCAUCUGUAAAACUGAACUCGCAUAAACCCCCAGGGAAUGUCCAGAUUUCAGAGUGUAUCUACCUGUAAAAUAUGGAGGAAGCAACUUUCUUUAUUCUUGUCUUCUACAAAGGAGUAAAGGGAAGACAGUAACAUUGACUGAGCACCUGGCAUGUGCCAAGGCAUUUUCAUGGACAGCAUUUAAUCCACAUUAUGACACUUUGAGAUAACUAUUCUUAUGGUUAUCGAUGUAGAGACUUAAUCAUUUCAGAAUGAUUAACAAAUUUAUUCAAGAUCACAUAGCAAAUAACGGGUAAAGACAGCACUCUAACCCCAUUGUACCUUAUUUUUCCCAUGAAUUCAUCUUCUAGAAUGUGAAAGGAGAGAAGUAUGGUAUAAACUAUCAAUACGGUUUUUUCAGUUGGUGAAAUAGAAAAAAUAUUGAGCUUAUUUUAAAAUCAAUCAAUCAAUCCUGGUUGUUUCUUCCUAAAAGGCAACUUUGACUAGCAAAAAUCCCUAAAAAAUGAAGCCCUGCUGGUAUUUGAAAGUGACCACAUUCUUUUCAGUAGGUGUCAAUGGGUCAAAUUCUGACAUUCCACUGAAAUCCCCAGGAAGGCUAGAAAAUAUUACCAUUUCUGAAACCAUGAGAUCUGUCAAGGGGGAUAAAACAGCCUUUCAUUAGAAAGUGAACACACAAUCAUUUAGCUCACGAGCGUGUCAGUUGUGAUGUGUGUUCAGCAGUUUACUGCCAGUAACUGAAGUUAGCAAGUGGUUCCUCAGAUAUGAUAACAUGCUUAUUCUAGUAUACUUCCUACAUUUUUUGUGUUUUUGAAAAUUUACAUGAACAAAAUAUGUUUCUUUUUAAUUGUCGCUAUUUUUAUUAAAGCAUAAUUGGAGACAGUGAAAUGAGAGACGUUAAGUACAUGGUUCGAUGAGAUUCGGCAGCCGCACACCUUUGGGGGACCCGCACCCACAUGAUGCAGAACACCGCCCCGACCCCCGACGUGGUUCCCGAGCCCUGCCCAGCAGUGUCCCCUGCGCCCCUCCACAGGCAGCCACUGUCCUGGUUCUCUGCCAUAGACUGGUUUUGCCUAUUUCAGAACUUGUAUAUAAAAAGGAAUCAUGCAGUGUGUACCCCUUUGUAUCUGGCUUCUUUUACUCUGUUUCACGAUAUUCAGGCCCAUGCACAUGUUGUGUGUGUCCAAAGCUAUUUUUUCUGAGUAGCAUUCCUUUGUGGCAAAGUAGCCAUUUUGUUUAUUCAUUUUCCGGAGGAUGGGCAUUUGAGUUUUUUCUAAUUUGUUGCUGUUCUAGUUGUUGAGGCCAAGGCUGGGAAAAAAGAAAAGAGCAAGGUAAAAUUUUUUGAAAUGUGAUUUUUUUUUGGAGUAUUCAGUGUAAUGA